rnacentral:rRNA from 1 species
AGAGUUUGAUCAUGGCUCAGGAUGAACGCUAGCUACAUGCUUAACACAUGCAAGUCGAGGGGCAGCAUUUUUAGUUUGCUUGCAAACUGAAGAUGGCGACCGGCGCACGGGUGAGUAACACGUAUCCAACCUGCCGAUAACUCCGGAAUAGCCUUUCGAAAGAAAGAUUAAUACCGGAUAGCAUACGAAUAUCGCAUGAUUAUUUUUAUUAAAGAAUUUCGGUUAUCGAUGGGGAUGCGUUCCUA